GGACGUGUCUUCCAAACAGAGUAUAGUUCCAAAGAAGACAUGGUAUCCCAGCAACCAAAUGUACAACACAGGAGACAGAUGAAUUUCUCAUUCUUGUAGGCUACCAUUUCUUUUGGCUUAUUACAAAACAACAGGAUGCUGCAGCUUUAUCAAAGUCUACUUAUUUGUCCACUAAAAGUUUAUGGCUAUACGUUUCCAACUAGAACAUCUGAACACCAAUAUAUGGAAUUCUGACAAAGUUAAAACCAGGAAGAGAUCCUAUGAAGGCUGACAUUUUGUACAUCUGUUUUAUAGAACAAUAAAAAUAAGAAGAACAAGAAUAAGAACAGCAACAACAUUUGCAGCCACUGUCUAGACCACAGGAAACCUGGUCAACAACAUAUGGGAUGUCACCAGAUUCAGACUCAGAAGUUUCCAUAAUGCCGUUGCCAACAGCUAGACACAGUAUAUGAUCAAUUCUCACCAAUACCACCAAUAUCACCAAUAGAUAAUGAGGACUGGAACUCUUUAUCUCUAAAAGAUGACCUGAAACACUAUGGAAAAGGAAGAUGCAUUACAACACACUAUCAAAGCAUCAUUUUCAGAUACACUGAGUCCAUCUUCUCAUGGACAUGAUGACAUAGAUGAAGAAACGGCUAUAUAGAGAGAUAAAGAAGCUUGCUCAAGGAUACACAGCCAGAAAGCAAAAGAGUUGGAGUUUGAACUUCGACAGUCUAACUCGAGGUUCUUUCUCUGUGUUUAAUCAGUCAACCACACUGCCUCUUCAGAAGCACGCAUAAUGUAUGCUCUAAAAAGUAAUGUCAAUGUAUUAGGUGUCAAACAGUAAA
rnacentral:lncRNA from 1 species